UCAAAUAGGUCUUUAUUUUUGGGUUAUAAUGUAGGGACAUUGGUUCAGGUAGGGAAAUAUAGGCUAAGUGACUCAAAUAGAUCAAGAACACCAACCUUAUGACUUCACAAUCAAGCAUGGAAUAAAUUCCAUCUUCCACCCAACUAUAUCACCAUAAUCAACAAAACUCAAGGGAUUUAAUCAUCACAAAACAGAACUAAACACUCUUUUAUGCUCUCCAUUUAUUUCCAACAAGCAAAAAGUCGAUUUUCUAACAAAUAUCUCAAAGUACACUCGACUUCACACUUUUUUCUUUUCUUUUUCUUUUCUUUUUUUUUCCUCAACAAUUUUUUUUUCUUUUCUUUUCACAACUUUUCUAGAGCUUAUAAGAGUAAAUAGUAUCACAAUAUCAUCCCUUCUUUUUCACAACCCACUUUGAACAUUCACCACAUAAGGAUCCCCAUAUACUACAUCACCCUCUAUCAUCCGGCUAAAGAAUAAAAGUUAAAUAGGCUCAAAGUGGAUAACAAAGGAUAAUUUUUUUUCAUUAAGGACAGUGUUUGGGAAAAAUUGUGGCUAACAAAAGAUGGCC
rnacentral:lncRNA from 1 species